AUGUAUGGAACCCUAACCUCAAAGGAUUACUCUGGAGAUUUCCUUUUAAGAUACACUGCAGUGGAACAGUCCUUUAAGGAACAGAGAGGUAGAAGAACCUUGGCUCCUUGGCAAUCAGUGGUGAAGGCAGAGCAACAGCUCCUUGUGUCUCAUCAUCAGAGGAAACUCCUCCCAGAUUCACUCAGCGGCUUGGCAACUAAGUUUCCAGCUUUUAUGAAUGUACAGCAACAGCAUUUAGAACAGUGCUCGCCCAACUUCAGCAUUGUGUUACAAUCACCUGGGCCCUUGUUAAAGCAUGCAGAUUCCUGA
rnacentral:lncRNA from 1 species